CUAGCUUGCUAGUUGCUGACGAGUGGCGGACGGGUGAGUAACGCGUAGGAAUCUACCGAGUAGUGGGGGACAACAGUUGGAAACGACUGCUAAUACCGCAUAAUCCCUGAGGGGGAAAGGAGGGGAUCUGUUUACAGACCUUUCGCUAUUUGAUGAGCCUGCGUGAGAUUAGCUAGUUGGUGAGGUAAUGGCUCACCAAGGCGACGAUCUCUAGCUGGUCUGAGAGGAUGAUCAGCCACACUGGAACUGAGACACGGUCCAGACUCCUACGGGAGGCAGCAGUGGGGAAUAUUGCACAAUGGGGGAAACCCUGAUGCAGCCAUGCCGCGUGUGUGAAGAAGGCCUUCGGGUUGUAAA
rnacentral:rRNA from 1 species